AUUGAACGCUGGCGGCAGGCCUAACACAUGCAAGUCGAACGAGUGGCGGACGGGUGAGUAAUGUCUGGGAAACUGCCCGAUGGAGGGGGAUAACUACUGGAAACGGUAGCUAAUACCGCAUACCAUCGGAUGUGCCCAGAUGGGAUUAGCUAGUAGGGGGGGUAACGGCUCACCUAGGCGACGAUCCCUAGCUGGUCUGAGAGGAUGACCAGCCACACUGGAACUGCGAAACGGUCCAGACGCCGACGGGAGGAAGCAGUGGGGAAUAUUGCACAAUGGGCGCAAGCCUGAUGCAGCCAUGCCGCGUUUAUGAAGAAGGCCUUCGGGUUGUAAAGUACUUUCAGCGGGGAGGCGUUACCCGCAGAAGAAGCACCGGCUAACUCCGUGCCAGCAGCCGCGGUAAUUC
rnacentral:rRNA from 1 species